rnacentral:rRNA from 1 species
UACGUAGGGGGCGAGCGUUAUCCGGAUUCACUGGGUGUAAAGGGAGCGUAGACGGCCGUGCAAGCCAGGAGUGAAAGCCCGGGGCCCAACCCCGGGACUGCUCUUGGAACUGUGCGGCUGGAGUGCGGGAGGGGCAGGCGGAAUUCCUGGUGUAGCGGUGAAAUGCGUAGAUAUCAGGAGGAACACCGGCGGCGAAGGCGGCCUGCUGGACCGCGACUGACGUUGAGGCUCGAAAGCGUGGGGAGCGAACAGG